rnacentral:lncRNA from 1 species
AUGUGGAGAUACUAUGAUGCAAGCACAUGGCUUCCAGAUGACAUACAUGUUCUUCCCAACAACAAGCUAGCUGAUCUCAGGUAUCAGUCAGGUAUCAGCCCUUCUGAGCUAUUUUUGCAGUCUCUUAGUGUGGCUGACUUACUCUUUUGCUGUGAGCUACUGAGGUUAAAGAUGGAUCUGAAUCCUGUGGAAGUGGAGAGAUGCAUCCAGACUGAGGGUGUCUUUUCGGGAGGGUAGGUCUAGCAUGUGGACAGUACUGUCAGCUGGUGCUGCAGAGUUAUGCCACCUUUCUGCAUAAACCAACACAAAUCCACUUGGCAAAUAUACAGAAGAAAGAUAACUUUUGUCAGCUCCACUUAUGCUGUUUGUGUAUCUGAUACAACCAGACCAGCAGGGAAGCUAUUCAUAAAUGCUGUUUCCUCUCAGGGGCUUUGCAGAAAAAGCCUUGCUCACAAUUCAAAAAAUUUGGUGCUUCUUCUCCCAUCAAACUCUGGGUGUGUGAAACAAUAAGAAAUGUCAUAUCUAAUCACAUAUUCACAAAGUGUUGUUUGCAUACAUAAAGCCAUCUGUUCUGAUCAGCUUUUUCUGCCCAUACAUCAAUUCAGAGCAAGACAAGGUUAUGAUUAUCAUUAUUUAUAAUAUUAUCCCCAUUCUCUCUAGCAUGCUAACAUCCACUUGCUGUCAUCUGAUUUCCCACCAUGUAAAUUAGCUAGAGCAGCAGAAACUGUAGUUUGAGAAAGAGAUC